GUGCUCACUUCGGCACCACAUAUACUAAAAUUGGAACGAUACAAAGAAGAUUAGCAUGGCCCCUGCGCAAGGAUGACACAUAAGUUUGUGAAGUGUUCCAUAAAAAA